UCGAGAAUCUUUCGCAAUGGGCGAAAGCCUGACGAAGCGACGCCGUGUGUGUGAUGAAGGCCUUUGGGUUGUAAAGCACUUUCGCUUGGGAACAAGAGAGACUAGCUAAUAUCUAGUCGAUUUGAGCGUACCAGGUAAAGAAGCACCGGCUAACUCCGUGCCAGCAGCUGCGGUAAUACGGAGGGUGCAAGCAUUAAUCGGAUUUAUUGGGCGUAAAGGGCGCGUAGGCGGGAAAGAAAGUUAGGUGUGAAAUUCCGGGGCUCAACUCCGGGCACGCGCUUAAUACUACUUUUCUAGAGGAUGGUUGGAGAAAAUGGAAUUCCACGUGUAGCGGUGAAAUGCGUAGAUAUGUGGAAGAACACCAGUGGCGAAGGCGAUUUUCUAAAGUAUUCCUGACGCUGAGGCGCGAAAGCAAGGGGAGCAAACAG
rnacentral:rRNA from 1 species